GAGCCCGCGGCCUAUUAGCUAGUUGGUGGGGUAAUGGCUCACCAAGGCGAUGAUGGGUAGCCGGCCUGAGAGGGCGACCGGCCACAUUGGGACUGAGAUACGGCCCAGACUCCUACGGGAGGCAGCAGUAGGGAAUUUUGCGCAAUGGGCGAAAGCCUGACGCAGCAACGCCGCGUGAGCGAUGAAGGCCUUCGGGUCGUAAAGCUCUGUCAGAUGGGAAGCUGACGGUACCAUCAAUGAAGCUCCGGCUAACUCCGUGCCAGCAGCCGCGGUAAUACGGAGGGAGCAAGCGUUGUUCGGAUUUACUGGGCGUAAAGAGCGCGUAGGCGGUCAGGUAAGUCAGAUGUGAAAACCACCGGCUCAACCGGUUGGCUGCAUUUAAGACUGCCUGACUUGAGUUCAGGAGAGGGGAGUGGAAUUCCCAGUGUAGCGGUGGAAUGCGUAGA
rnacentral:rRNA from 1 species